rnacentral:ncRNA from 1 species
CUAAGGUUGCUCGGUCGCUGCUCAUCAGCGAUCAGGUUUAGUAGCCUGGAUU